ensembl:lncRNA
UCGGCUCUGUGAUAAAUGGCAUGUUAUGUUUCUACAUUCUUUUAUGAUGAUGGCAGUUCAGCAGAGUUGGAGCAGACCUCCUGUCGGACAACAUCUCUAAGGCGCUAUGAACCAUAUGACUGGAUCUUGUGAGAAGUACUUCAUCUGGUGGGUAUUUCAUUUUCUUCUUUCUUUUGGGGUUUGCUCCGCCCUGCCUUAGUCUUCAGCAGGAAUAGCUGUAAUCUACAACGUCUGAUUCAAGCUACAGAUGGGGCCUACGCCAAAAUAAUUUUGUUCUUUUUGUAUAGGUUUUGUAAAUAAAUACUUUUGCAUUUCAUCUUCA